UAGGGAAUCUUCGGCAAUGGACGAAAGUCUGACCGAGCAACGCCGCGUGAGUGAAGAAGGUUUCCGGAUCGUAAAACUCUGUUGGUAGAGAAGAACGUUGGUGAGAGUGGAAAGCUCAUCAAGUGACGGUAACUACCCAGAAAGGGACGGCUAACUACGUGCCUG
rnacentral:rRNA from 1 species